GAAUAUUAUUCAGUCUAAAUCUCAGUGGCAGCGUGUAUUAAUUUUAUUUAUUAUUUUAUAUCAUACUACUGUAUAUUGUUUAUUGUAUAUUAUACUAUAUGUGGUUUUGGCAUUUCCUUACUCAAAUAAUAACCAUGUAUAAGUGUUAUGUUAGAGCACACCCAAACCGGGGGCUGAAUUAAGGGAUAUAAUAAAUGUAGUUCACUCUGCAACAUUAAUUUCUAAUUAUAUGUUCCUUCUAUUUAUCUAGGAAAGUUAAGAUGUAGACAGCUUCGUGUCAAGCAAAGACCCAAAAGAAUUGCCAUUUCUUGUAAUGGUUGUCUGGCGACCAUUGAAUGCAAUUUCUCAAAUCUUUAUUGUCGCUGACUUGCUGGUACUUUUUCGAGUUAAGGUUGUAAUUGUGGAACUGAUGGCAUGAACUCACAUUCUCUUUUCGAGAGGAGGUUAAUUAAUGAAAUUAGGAAUGACAUAUACUAAGUAAUAUGAACUGAAUAAAAUCUGAACUCAGUAGGAGAGGGCAAUAUUGCUCUUAUAUUGUAUAUACAGUAGGUAUCGUUUAUAACUCAUUGCAGUAUUUGCAUCAGUUUGGUUCGAAUGUUGCAUCUUUACUCUGAACGGAGUGCGUACAACCAUGCAUGCAUGUAUUGUAGGUCAAAAUCACUUUGUUUGUUACUACUGUGUAUGCUAAUUUUAAUUUGUUCUAUAUAUUGGUAGAAUACAUUAUUUUCACUGACACAGUUGUGUUGAGAUGGCU
rnacentral:lncRNA from 1 species